rnacentral:rRNA from 1 species
GUGCAAUGCCGCGUGGAGGAUGACGGCCCUAGGGUUGUAAACUCCUGUCAUUGGGGAGCAACAAGCAGGUUUGUAGCCWGCCAUGAGUUAACCCAAAGAGGAAGAGGUGGCUAACUCCGUGCCAGCAGCCGCGGUAAUACGGAGACCUCGAGCGUUACUCGGAUUCACUGGGCGUAAAGGGUGAGUAGGCGGCCAWGUAUGUCGGGUGUGAAAUCCCGGGGCUUAACCCCGGAACUGCGCCCGAAACUACUUGGCUAGAGUCUSGGAGAGGAUAGUGGAAUUCCAGGUGUAGCGGUGAAAUGCGUAGAUAUCKGGAGGAACACCAGUGGCGAAGGCGACUGUCUGGACGAGAACUGACGCUCAAUCACGAAAGCGUGGGUAGCGAAAGGRAUUAGAUACCCCGGUAGUCCACGCCGUAAACGUUGUAMACUAAGUUUCGGAGGAUUCGACCCCUUCGGAGCUCAAGCUAACGCGUUAAG